UGGGGAAUUUUGGACAAUGGGGGGAACCCUGAUCCAGCAAUGCCGCGUGCAGGAUGAAGGCCUUCGGGUUGUAAACUGCUUUUGUACGGAACGAAAAGCUCUGGGUUAAUACCCUGGAGUCAUGACGGUACCGUAAGAAUAAGCACCGGCUAACUACGUGCCAGCAGCCGCGGUAAUACGUAGGGUGCGAGCGGUAAUCGGAAUUACUGGGCGUAAAGCGUGCGCAGGCGGUUUUGUAAGACAGUGGUGAAAUCCCCGGGCUCAACCUGGGAACUGCCAUUGUGACUGCAAGGCUGGAGUGCGGCAGAGGGGGAUGGAAUUCCGCGUGUAGCAGUGAAAUGCGUAGAUAUGCGGAGGAACACCGAUGGCGAAGGCAAUCCCCUGGGCCUGCACUGACGCUCAUGCACGAAAGCGUGGGGAGCAAACAGG
rnacentral:rRNA from 1 species